CAGGGAGACAACAAAAUGUUUAAUAUUAUUAUUUUGUCACCUUAGGUCGAUCGGUAUCUCACGUUCUUAAUUUGUUAAGAAUUUCAUUUCCUAAGUUUUUCUAGGUCACACCCAUUAUUUUUCCUGGGCCAUUAGCUCAGGUGGUUAGAGCGCACCCCUGAUAAGGGUGAGGUCCCUGGUUCAAGUCCAGGAUGGCCCAUAUCUCUAUGUUGGGGGUAUAGCUCAGUUGGUAGAGCGCCUGCUUUGCAAGCAGGAUGUCAGCGGUUCGAGUCCGCUUACCUCCACUGAUUACCACCUCUUCCAUAACCGGUAGAAAGGAAAUGUUUUGAGUUGUGAUCAUUAUUCUGAACGAAUCUAGCUUCCUAAUGAAAUCAUUAAGAUGCUGGACUCAUUGAAUUAAUUUCAUUGUUUUCAGAGAACCUUGACAACUGCAUAGAUUUUUUUAAAGACAAUAAGCAUCUUUAAUGAUGCAGAUUUAUUAUUUGUGCGAAUGCAUUAAUAACAAUUCUAUUAAGCUGAUGCUUCAAUUUUUGAAGUUAUU
rnacentral:tRNA from 1 species